rnacentral:rRNA from 1 species
CGGAGGGUGCAAGCGUUAUCCGGAUUCACUGGGUUUAAAGGGUGCGUAGGUGGCUAUAUAAGUCAGUGGUGAAAAGCCCGCGGCUCAACCGUGGAAUUGCCAUUGAAACUGCAUAGCUUGAGUACAGUUGAAGUGGGCGGAAUAUAUCAUGUAGCGGUGAAAUGCUUAGAUAUGAUAUAGAACACCGAUUGCGAAGGCAGCUCACUAAGCUGUAACUGACACUGAGGCACGAAAGCGUGGGUAGCGAACAGGAUUAGAUACCCUGGUAGUCCACGCCCUAAACGAUGAAUACUCGAUGUGUGUGCCUUGUGCAUGCGCGUCCAAGCAAAAGCGUUAAGUAUUCCACCUGGGAAGUACGGUCGCAAGAUUA